rnacentral:rRNA from 1 species
CAGCAGCCGCGGUAAAACGUAGGUGGCAAGCGUUGUCCGGAAUUAUUGGGCGUAAAGGGCUCGCAGGCGGUUUCUUAAGUCUGAUGUGAAAGCCCCCGGCUCAACCGGGGAGGGUCAUUGGAAACUGGGAAACUUGAGUGCAGAAGAGGAGAGUGGAAUUCCACGUGUAACGGUGAAAUGCGUAGAGAUGUGGAGGAACACCAGUGGCGAAGGCGACUCUCUGGUCUGUAACUGACGCUGAGGAGCGAAAGCGUGGGGAGCGAACAGGAUUAGAUACCCGGGUAGUCCCUGUCUCUUAUAC